GACGUAGGGUGCGAGCGUUGUCCGGAUUUAUUGGGCGUAAAGAGCUCGUAGGCGGCUUGUCGCGUCGAAUGUGAAAUCCCUCGGCUCAACUGAGGAAGUGCAUCCGAAACUGGCAAGCUUGAGUACGAAAGAGGGUCGCGGAAUUCCCGGUGUAGAGGUGAAAUUCAUAGAUAUCGGGAGGAACACCGGUGGCGAAGGCGGCGACCUGGGUCGAUACUGACGCUGAGGUGCGAAAGCGUGGGGAGCAAACAGG
rnacentral:rRNA from 1 species